GUAAACUUAUUAGGGAUGGAUGGUGGGCAUCUCCCCUGACAGGGACGUGAAUUGCUUUUGAGUUUUCUUGUUACACAUCCAGUUAAGGCUACCCACUUCGGUGGAUUUUAUACCUAAUUUUU